GCAAGAUUGUGUACUUACUACCAAAAAUUAUCUCCAAAUGAUCAGCAAGGCACCUUGAUGCGCAAUGGAAAUACUGGAUUGGGGAGUGUACUCACACUAGAUCCUUCUGAUAAAUCCCCCUUCCUUGGGGAUAUAAAACCUGGUUGCAGCCAGUCAUCUCUUGAAACAAAUAUGUAUAGGGCACCGAUUUUUCAGCAGAAGGUCUCAUCAACUGAUUAUUUGUUGGUUCGCUCAACAAAGGGUAAGCUGUCCAUAAGGCGGAUAGACAGGAUUGAUGUUGUAGGGCAACAGGAGCCUCACAUGGAGGUAACCUCUCCUGGAUCAAAAGGUGUUCAG
rnacentral:misc_RNA from 1 species